rnacentral:rRNA from 1 species
GAUGAAUGCUGGCGGCGUGCCUAAUACAUGCAAGUCGAGCGAACAGACGAGGAGCUUGCUCCUCUGACGUUAGCGGCGGACGGGUGAGUAACACGUGGAUAACCUACCUAUAAGACUGGGAUAACUUCGGGAAACCGGAGCUAAUACCGGAUAAUAUAUUGAACCGCAUGGUUCAAUAGUGAAAGACGGUUUUGCUGUCACUUAUAGAUGGAUCCGCGCCGCAUUAGCUAGUUGGUAAGGUAACGGCUUACCAAGGCAACGAUGCGUAGCCGACCUGAGAGGGUGAUCGGCCACACUGGAACUGAGACACGGUCCAGACUCCUACGGGAGGCAGCAGUAGGGAAUCUUCCGCAAUGGGCGGAAGCCUGACGGAGCAACGCCGCGUGAGUGAUGAAGGUCUUCGGAUCGUAAAACUCUGUUAUUAGGGAAGAACAAAUGUGUAAGUAACGAUGCACGUCUUGACGGUACCUAAUCAGAAAGCCACGGCUAACUACGU